UAAAGGUUUGGUCCUGGCCUUUUUAUUGACAACUAGUAAACUUACACAUGCAAAUAUCCUUGCCCCGGUGAGAAUGCCCUCUAUAUCAACAUGACCUAAAGGAGCAGGUAUCAAGCUCACUCCCAACAGUUGCUCAUAACGCCUUGCUUAACCACACCCCCACGGGAUACAGCAGUGAUUAAGAUUAAGCUCAUGAACGAAAGUUCGACUAAGUUCUACUAACAUCUGGGUUGGUAAAUUUCGUGCCAGCCACCGCGGUCAUACGAUUAACCCUGGUCAAUAAAACACGGCGUAAAGCGUGAUUAGAAGAAGAAAUUCAAUAAGACUAAGCCCAAACUAAGCUGUAAAAAGCCCUAGUUUUAACAAAAAUAACUAAACGAAAGUAGUCUUAAAACUUUUGAACUCACGAAAGCUAAGACCCAAACUGGGAUUAGAUACCCCACUAUGCUUAGCCCUAAACAUAAACACUCAACUAACAAGACUGUUCGCCAGAGUACUACUAGCCAUAGCUUAAAACUCAAAGGACUUGGCGGUGCUUUACAUCCCUCUAGAGGAGCCUGUUCUAUAAUCGAUAAACCCCGCUACACCUUACCACCCUUUGCAACUAUCAGCCUAUAUACCGCCAUCUUCAGCAAACCUUUACAAAGCCUCACAGUAAGCACAAUAAUACAGCAUAAAUACGUUAGGUCAAGGUGUAGCCUAUAGGGUGGAAAGAAAUGGGCUACAUUUUCUUAUUAACUAGAACAUCUCUACGAUAGCUUUUAUGAAACUCAAAGCCCAAGGCGGAUUUAGUAGUAAGUUAGGAAUAGAGUGCCUAACUGAAUCGGGCAAUAAAGCACGCACACACCGCCCGUCACCCUCUUCAAGUCCUAUAAGCAAACAAUUACUACCUAAUUUCACUCAUUAAUAGCACAAGAAGAGAUAAGUCGUAACAAGGUAAGCAUACUGGAAAGUGUGUUUGGAACAAC
rnacentral:rRNA from 1 species